AUACGUAGGUGGCAAGCGUUGUCCGGAAUUACUGGGUGUAAAGGGAGCGUAGGCGGGAGUGCAAGUCAGAUGUGAAAUACAUGGGCCCAACCCAUGGGCUGCAUUUGAAACUGCAUUUCUUGAGUGCAGUAGAGGUAAGCGGAAUUCCUGGUGUAGCGGUGAAAUGCGUAGAUAUCAGGAGGAACACCGGUGGCGAAGGCGGCUUACUGGGCUUUUACUGACGCUGAGGCUCGAAAGCGUGGGGAGCAAACAGGAUUAGAUACCCUGGUAGUCCACGCUGUAAACGAUGAUUACUAGGUGUGGGGGACUGACCCCUUCCGUGCCGCAGUUAACACAAUAAGUAAUCCACCUGGGGAGUACGGCCGCAAGGUUGAAACUCAAAUGAAUUGACGGGG
rnacentral:rRNA from 1 species